AAAUUAAACCGAAGGAGAGAAAAAAAAAGAGAAACGGAUCGUCUCCAUUCACCACCACCCUGAUUCCUCCCCCUCUCCCUCAUCUGCCGCUGCCGCCACUCACCGGCACCCUCCCCCACAGCCGUCGCCGCCACCAGUGCCCUCGCCCACAGCCUGCACCCCUAUCCUUCUCUCCUCCGCUCACCUUAUCCCCACCACAGGCGAGCUCCUCCUCCCCCCUGCUCGCCCCAGAUUGAGCAGCAGGUUAGGGUUCACGGCCACAGCGGCACGAGCGCUCCGAUGCAGGUUCAAGCCGCUUGAGGUGGGUGCUCGCUGCGGCUCUUACCCUUGUGCUGACGCCAUCGACAAGAACAUAUACCUCUGUUAGUGGAGCAGCCCCAACCCUAGCCCUUCUUCGGCCAUGGCGACCUAGCAAGCAGGAGGUUGCCAACACAAUUGGCAAGAGCUACAAAAUAUGAAAUUCCUCCCUGAACAAAGCUUGAGGAACCUGAAGUCUGCAGUCCUUCAGUCACAAGGCAUCCGAUGCUUGGUUCCAGAUGAUUGCAACAAGUUGCUUGCUCUUGUUAGAGCUGAAAAAAGAAAAGUCCGCGGCACUUUCACGUUGAUCCUUCGUCUUCGAUCUAUGCCGCCGGGCAUGACGCACCCUCCGUCAGAGUUCACGCCGGCCACGACGCUUCAUCUACAUCCGCAGGCUUUUAAUCGCCCUCUGGAGCAAGCAUCACCAGCAACCCUCGUAAUGGACGGCCUCCCACUCCUUUGUGCCUUUUACUAUUGUACAGUUACAUUCCGUGGGAAUUGUGCCGUGUGUGUGUGGGCAGUUUAGGGAGUUUGCUGCAAAUGUUGCUCGGUUAGGAAACCUGUGCAGUGAUCCCAAAUGGCACAACUUGAAUCAGCAUUUCUCGAGGUUGAAGUGUGAACCCACUUUGGUGGAUGGAUGGAUGGAGGGAGGUUAACCACACAUCAGAAAUACUCUAAAGAAGCAGCAGCAUCCAGUAUGUACUAUGUAGUAUCUCAGUUCGUUUGUGGUGGAUGGAUGGAGGGAGGGAGGUGAAGUGAGAUGGACUGGGCAGUCUACUGCGUUUGGUUUGUUUAGGUGGAAAGAUUCUUGACCACUGACUCACAGCUGAUGCUGAUUUCUGAUCAUCUAGCAAGGAGGUCUCUAUGGCAAGUCCAAGAUGGUGUCGAAGAAAAAAUCUAUUGUGAUGUCCUUUGUUGCAUGCUAUACUCGAAUCUUGUGUGCCCAAAGAGCCUCAUAAUUGAUAAGAGCAUUCACACAGCAUGUCUGGGAAAUCAGAUCAGCACAACAUUUCAUUUAUAUACAAAAUCAACAUUUUAUUGGUUCUUCGUAUGAGUGACCAUCCUAUGUGAAUUCAGAUCCAAGUUGGCAUGAUGAAAUAUGGAUGGACAACAUCAAUAGGUCCAGUUCCUUGAGUUUGUGGUUAAUGGAGAAAGGCCUUCUAUCAUUGCUUAAGUGAACUCUCAGAUCUUUCAACAUGGUAUUGUUGAUCUGCGGGGGCUAUCAUUCUUCACUAUGCAACAUUGGCACUUUCUAGGCUGAAGUAUCUUAUCAAGCCCAUUGUUUGCAGCAUAACGGCCUAUGAUCAGGCUUGUACACAGUUAAUUGUCUCAUGUGUGCAAUGCAAGCAGAGCAGGUUUAAAUAAAUCCUAAUAGGGUUGUCUGUGCUAGAUGGUACUAACUACAUGUAUCAGGUUGAUAUAUAUUUCCUUCUUUGUCAAUGAGCAAAUCAUAAUAUGACUUAUUGACGUGUCAAGGCUUCUGUUGCAUUCUUAGGGAAGAUUGUGGUCAGUGAAAUUGCAUUGACUUUGAUUUUGAGUGCCGUUCACUUAUUUUUGCUUCUUUACUGUUUGAUUUGCCUAGACCAUUGGUAUACUAUUUAUCUACUAUUGAAAAUACAAUUUAAUUGAGUGGUUCUCCAACGAUAACAUUUUAUUGUGUUAUCCAUUGAUUACACAGAAAUUAUGCAUUGAUUCUUGGCUCUGCUAUUACGCUGCAGUUGCUCCCUCUGACGCCGUCUGCACUGCAAAGGCAUCAGUCAAUCAGGAUGCAGUUUGGAUACACUUCUACAUUUUUUAUUUCUUUGGAAGUCUUCCCAAUGUUUUCUUGGAGUAUAGUAUCUGAUGAUAUGUUUUACGAAGCUGGUUGUCAAUCAGAUCAUUGGUGAUAUUGUUGCAUAUCUUAAGAAUAGAAAUUAAAUUAGCACAUGUAGUCCUUUCUGAACUGAUUGCAUCCACAAAGAAUGGGACUAUCAGCAAUGAGGUAAUGUUGCUUCCUUUUGAUUGUGCUACUCUGCUGCAUUGAUUAUGAUGGCUAGAACUUGAUUUUGACAGUUUAUUUUGUUCGGUCUUGGAAGUGAAAUGGAUUCUGUAUCUUGCUUUCUUACUCUUGGGCACUUUUUCUUAGAAUCCUGGAUCUGGCUCAUGGUUAAUAUAUCAGUGUAAUUGAUCUGAACUAAUAAUUUAUCAGCUGCUUAUGUGUCGUGUUCGACAAACUGCCCA